rnacentral:rRNA from 1 species
UACGGAGGGGGCAAGCGUUAUUCGGAAUUACUGGGCGUAAAGGGCGUGUAGGCGGUCUAACAGGUCAGAUGUGAAAUCCCCGAGCUUAACUCGGGAACUGCGUUUGAAACCGUUAGACUUGAGGCUGGGAGAGGAAAGCGGAAUUCCUGGUGUAGCGGUGAAAUGCGUAGAUAUCAGGAGGAACACCGGUGGCGAAAGCGGCUUUCUGGACCAGUACUGACGCUGAUGCGCGAAAGCGUGGGUAGCAAACGGGAUUAGAUACCCCGGUAGUCCACGCUGUAAACGAUGAGCACUAGGUGUAGCGGGUAUUGACCCCUGCUGUGCCGCAGCUAACGCAAUAAGUGCUCCGCCUGGGGACUACGCACGCAAGUGUAAA